UACGUAGGGGGCAAGCGUUGUUCGGAGUUACUGGGCGUAAAGGGUGCGUAGGCGGCUUUUUAAGUUUGGUGUGAAAUCUCCUGGCUUAACCGGGAGGGUGCGCCGGAUACUGAGAAGCUAGAGUAUGGGAGAGGAAAGUGGAAUUCCUGGUGUAGCGGUGAAAUGCGUAGAUAUCAGGAGGAACACCGGUGGCGAAGGCGGCAUCCUGGACCAACACUGACGCUGAGUGAGCGAAAGCCAGGGGAGCAAACGGG
rnacentral:rRNA from 1 species